rnacentral:rRNA from 1 species
AACGCGAAGAACCUUACCCAGGUUAGAAGUGCAGGAGGAGAUAGCAGAGAUGGUAUCGCUCGAAAGGGCUGCUGCAUAGGUGCUGCAUGGCUGUCGUCAGCUCGUGCCGUGAGGUGUUGGGUUAAGUCCCGCAACGAGCGCAACCCUUAUCAUUAGUUGCCAACACGAGAGGUGGGGACUCUAAUGAGACUGCCUAGGUUAACUAGGAGGAAGGUGAGGAUGACGUCAAGUCCGCAUGGCCUUUAUGUCUGGGGCUACACACGUGCUACAAUGGUCGGUACAGAAGGCAGCGAAGUCGCGAGAUGGAGCAAAUCCGAAAAAGCCGAUCUCAGUUCAGAUUGUAGUCUGCAACUCGACUACAUGAAGAUGGAAUUGCUAGUAAUGACGUGUCAGCAACAACGUCGUGAAUACGUUCCCGGGCCUUGUA